UCGUUAACUAUUGUAUCACUAAUAUAAUUUUAUAAUAUUUUAAUAGAACAUCAAAGUAUUCUUUGAUGGUUUUUGUUUUAAUACAAUGAAUCUAUACUUAAUAUUAUAAAGCUGAAGAGUUUGUUUGUUUGAAAGCGCGACAUCACGCUAACACUAAAUACAUAAUACAAGCGGAGCACCAACAAAUAAUGUUUGAAAAUCGGGGUUUUUUUUCCCUUUUCAGCUUCCGCUACGUGCGCUGCAGAAACGGUUAAAGUUUCGCUAAAAUAAUCUAUGACAGAAUUGUUCCCCUUUCAAAGAUCUAAAAAAAGUCCGCGAUAGCAUAAUAUGUCUAUAUGUUAAGGAACCUGGAUUGAACUAAUUUUGAUUUCCUUGCCGGGCCUUGUUAUGGUGGUUUAUUGCAACUGCAGCAAGCGUGAAGAUUAGAAAGAAUUCCCUCUGAACUACUGAGCGACUGGGAAGGCGAUAAACUGCGGGACAACACAGACUAGAUUUUUGUAAAGUAAUCUGAUAUCUCAUUUACAUUAAAACGCCGAUUUUUUCACACGCAUUUCAGUAGUGAUACCUUUAGGUACUGCCGUAGUAAAGUCUAAAUUACCAGUUGACAUUUGGCUUUGUAAUUCGACUAUGCGCGAUGGAGAACGUUAAAAUUCUUGCAGAAUUCUAAGCCGCCUUUGAAGUUUUUUUUUAAUUAUGCGUAUAGGUAUUUUUUUAUGUUUCGAUCACUAGUAUCAUAUCGAGUGGCUGUAUGGUUGUCUAUGUAGAACAAUAUAGACAACGCAUUCGAUUAUUUUUUUUAUUGCUAAGAUUGGUGGAAGAGCUCACACGGCCACCUAGUCAUCGAAGCCCAUAUACAUAAACAAUGUAACGGUUUUUCUGCCUAGCUAUUGCUUGAAACCUCGAGGGGUUAUUCUAGCUUCAUUGAGGUUCAGCCUGGCGACUUUACUAACACUAGCCCUUGCAAGAGUAGUGGUUCGCUGAAUCUACCACCGGGUCGAAAUCGCAACUGAGAAGAUCAGGCGAGAAGCUCGUGGGCUGUGUCUGUGAGUUAAUUUUCACGAAGAACCCUUCGUCGCAUUCAACGGGUUCGACAAGAACGGUGAUCGGCACUUCGAAUGCUUAAAAGCACCGAUAGCGGAUCGGGAGGAUACGAGUUUUGGGCGACGGUGACUGCUUACCAUUUGGUAGAAUGGAUGCCCCACUCUCCAAGCCGAAUCGUGUUUCACGGCAGAAAUAGGCAGGACGGUAUCUACACGUGCGGGCUCACAAGACGUCCUACCAAAUGUAGAUGAAUCAUUAUGUAGACGUUGUGUAAUAUAACCAAGUGAGACUUCCGUCCUCCAAGGGGCGCCACCUUACCAUGUCCCGUUGAGUGAGUAUAAUUGCUGGUCACUACGUAUUAAAAAGAAUAGGAUAUAAUAAUAUAAAGGGUUCAUACACGAAGUAAUCAAAUAUAAAAUAGAAAACUUGCUUGCGUAUAUUUUGAUUAUGUAUUUCUUUUUCUUUUUUUUUACAAAAUAAAAACAAACAUUUUUCACGAA